GGUCAGGAGAUUGAGACCAUCCUGGCUAACACGGUGAAACCCCGUCUCUACUAAAAAUACAAAAAAAUUAGCCGGGCGUGGCGGCGGGCGCCUGUAGUCCCAGCUACUUGGGAGGCUGAGGCAGGAGAAUGGUGCGAACCCGGGAGGCAGAUUUUGCAGAGAGCCGAGAUCGUGCCACUGCACUCCAGCCUGGGCGACAGAGCAAGACUCCGUCUCAAAACAAAAAACAAACAAACAAAUAUGGAGCAUUCUGAUAUGAAUAAGACACUUGCUCACUUCUCAAUUCCUUGGUGUCCAGCUCUACAAGUGUAUAUAGACUUCCAAAGAAUAUUUAAAUCCUUUAACAAAAAUGCCACCUAAGAAAAUAUGAAAUACUUCAGUCUGUCUGUCAGUGCUCACUUCCUGUCUAGAAACUUUCAGGCUCCGGCACAAAUGAACCAUGUUCUUCGCCUAAGUCAUUUAUGGAACAUCUGCUUUCGGUUUAGCAUCAGGGGAAACAAAGCAAAGAAGAAUGACACUGAAGAAUCAAAAAAAAAAAUGAGCAUAAGACCCAUGAAGAUUACAGACACAUACACUCCUAAAAUUAAACAUUAAGCGGAAUAAAAAUAAUCCCAGAUUAUAUGGUCUGACAUGCCAGAAGAAAUAAAAACCUAAGGAAUUAGUUAAAAUCUGUGCAAAAAAAAAAAAAAAAAAAAAAAAAAAAAAACACUAUGACUAGAAAAAGCACUAUUACUAGUAAAAAUAAUGAUAAUGAAUUCUGGUGUCUAAAAUAUUGAACUAAAUAGUUAACAAUAGCAUAUACAUUAAGAGAGAGUGAUUGGGAUUUACAGGUUCUUAAUCCUGCUAAUGUCAGGAAUAAGGUAGAGAUAAUGUUAGCAGAGAUUUUGAUAAAUAUGUAUAUUAAAAUCUGUAGGGUAAUCACUGAAACCAAAAUGGUGGAUAUAAUUUAUCAAAUAAUAGCAAACAAAUCAAGUGAAAAAUUACCAAAUUAAGGCUGGGCACGGUGGCUUACACCUGUAAUCCCAACAAUUUGGGAGGCUGAGGUGGGUGGAUCACCUGAGGUCAGGAGUUUGGGACCCAGCCUGGCCAACAUGGUGAAACACCAUCUCUACUAAAAAUACAAAAAUUAGCCAGGGGUGGUGGUUGGUGCCUGUAAUCCCAUCUACUCAGGCAACUGAGGCAGGAGAAUCACUUGAACCCAGGAGGCAGAGGUUGCAGUGAGCCAAGAUGGCGCCUCUGCACUCCAGCCUGGGAGACAAGAGUGAAACUCUAUCUCAAAAAAAAAAAAAAUUAAUUAAUUAAUUCAUAAAAGGCUAGAGAGCAUGAAAAACAAAAGAGAAAAAAAUAGCAUUCAGCUAUCAGAAGUCUGGGUCUAAAGGAAAUAAAUCUGUUAAAUCCAGUAGUCAGACUCCUUAAACUUUGGCCUGCCUCUCCCAGAUGAGAUUAUACCAAAACCAACCUAAUUAUUACUAAAUUAUUUGAUCAAUUUGGAAUUGAAAGGAUGAGGAAGAAAACACAACUAAAAGGAAUUGUACACCCAACAUUAUACACUAAGUCAAUUCCAGUUUGGGAUAAAGAAAAAUCUAAAAAAUGAAAGUAUACAACUUUUAGAAGUCAUUUCAUGGGGAUAUAUUUAUAAUUUAAAGACAGCAAAAAAAAAAAAAAAAACAUUGACACAAAACAAACAAAAAAGAAAACCUCUACUAUAUGAGUAUAUAAAUUAAAAGUUAUUGUUUAUCAAGGACCAUAAAAAACAAAAACAAGAAUCUCAAAUUGUGAGAAAUUAUUUUCAGUGCAUAAAAAUGACAAGUGAAUAUUAUUCAGCAUGUAUAACAAAAGCUUCACAACUACUAAAGGAAAGAAAAAAUUAUAAAACACAAAGACUCAAACUGCAGUUAACAGAAGGGGAAAUUUGAAUUUUUAUCAA
rnacentral:lncRNA from 10 species